rnacentral:rRNA from 1 species
GGAGGGUGCAAGCGUUGUUCGGAAUUACUGGGCGUAAAGCGCGUGUAGGCGGCUGGGCAAGUCGGAUGUGAAAGCCCUGGGCUCAACCCGGGAAAUGCAUCCGAAACUGCUCAGCUAGAGUCUCGGAGGGGAAGGCAGAAUUCCCAGUGUAGGGGUGAAAUCCGUAGAUAUUGGGAAGAAUACCAGCGGCGAAGGCGGCCUUCUGGACGAUGACUGACGCUGAGACGCGAAAGCGUGGGGAGCAAACAGGAUUAGAUACCCUGGUAGUCCACGCCGUAAACGUUGUGCACUAGAUGUCGGGGGGUAUUCACCCCCUCGGUGUCGCCGCUAACGCAUUAAGUGCACCGCCUGGGGAGUACGGCCGCAAGGCUA